rnacentral:lncRNA from 1 species
GUCCUCUGGCAUGGACUGUCUCCAGUCCAUCACUCACUGUCCCCACCAGCCCUGCAGAACACUUUGCACACUCCCCCUCUCAGAACUCCGCUCUAACUGCUCAUCUAGCGGUCUGUCUGCACCGCCGGGAGCCCCGACGGCCUGUUCUCCGUCUGACCCCGUGCCCAGCCCACUGCCUGGGCAUCGGUAAUAAACAAGGGCUCGUGGGGUAAGUAGAUGCCUGAGCGAACGGGCGAAGAAACGUGUGAACACAAAAAACCACCACGAGCUCUACCACCUUGUCACUCUGGAAAGCUCAUCUCCAGUCUCCCCGAGAGAGGGUAAGGUUCUGUGACAGCAUCUGCAGAACAAUAAGCAAACACCGCCAGUGCCUCUGGGUUCCCCUGGUGAGUUUCAGAAGUGGGCAGGCGAGCACAGACCCUCCUCCAGCUCCCUCCCGGCCCCCAGCUCUGCUCCCGGCUGCCCCUCCCUCCGUCUCUGCUCUUUCCCCACUCACUCUCUGUCUCUCCCUCUGUCUCUCCCUCUGUCUCCCUCUGUCUCAUCUCUCUCCCUCUGUCUCUCUUCAACUCUGUCUCUCUGUCUCUCUGUAUCUCCCCCCGCUCUGUCUCCGUCUCUCUGUCUCUCUCUCUCUCUCUGUAUCUCUCUCUCUCCCUUUUCUCUGUCUCUGUCUCUCUCUCUGUAUCUCUCUAUCUCUCUCUGUAUCUCUCUCCCCCUUUCUCUCUGUCUCUCUGUACUCUCUUUGUCUCUCUCUCUGUCUCUCUCCCUUUCUCUCUCUCUCUGUCUCCCUCUCUUUGUCUCUGUCUCUCUGUAUCUCUCUCUCUGUCCCUCUCUCUGUCUCUCUCUCUCUCCCUCUCUCUGUCUCUCCCUCUCUCUGUCUCUCUCUCUCUCUGUAUCUCUCUCUCUCCCUUUCUGUCUCUGUCUCUCUCUUUGUGCUGUCUCUCUGUUCUCUCUGUGUCUCUGUCUCUCUGUGUGUGUCUCUCUCUGUCUCUCUCUGUCUCUCUGUGUGUGUCUCUCUCUGUCCCUCUCUCUGUCUCUGUCUCUCUCUGUCUCUCUCUCUGUCUCUCUGUGUGUGUCUCUCUCUGUCCCUCUCUCUGUCUCUCCCUGUCUCCCUCUGUCUCCCUCUCUCUGUCUCUGUCUCUGUGUAUCUCUCUGUCUCUCUGUCUCUGCCUCCCUCUCUCUCUGUCUCUCCCUCUCUCUCUGUCUCUCAUGCAUUUCCCUCCAUUCCCCUCCCAGCCCCAGCCCCCUUCAUCGAGGGCUCCCCAGGACUCUCAGAUGCCUUAGGAUGAGAUCUCACGUCCACCCCAGCCCCCUGGCCCUGCCUCAUU